AACCACCUCUCCAAGUACAAAUCUGAUUAAUAUUAAUACUUAAACAUAUUUACUUUUAAGUCCUUAUGUUCCACAUGCUUACAUGCAUAUACCUAAUUAUUUAGUACCCUUAAAGUGAGAACAGUCACCAAUAACAUCAACAGGUUAGCAACUUGUGUAGUGCGCAAUUAAGUAGUUCUACAUAAGUGAGGACAAAAAAAAAAAAAAAUUUCUUCCAUCAUUCUACACUUAAAUCAGUUACUCUGUGAUUCUUUACUUUAAAUAAAUCUAUUUCUACUUAACUUACUAAUACAUGUGAAUAAUUUUCCUUCAACCACCUCGUUAAGUUCAAAUCUAAUUAAUAUUAAUACUUAGACAUAUUUACUUUUAAAUCCUUAUGUUCCAAAUGCUUAUGUGCAUAUACUUAAUUCUCAAUUAACUAGUAGCUUUAAAGUGAAAACAGGCCCCAA